rnacentral:sRNA from 1 species
GCUGGGUGUGGUGGCACACGCCUGUAAUCCCAGUGGUUCGGGAGGCUGAGACAGGAGGAUGGUGAGUUCUAAGCCAGCUUCAGCAAAAGUGAGGCACUGAGCAACUCAGUGAGACCCUGUCUCUA